rnacentral:rRNA from 1 species
GGGUUGUGAGGUUAAGCGACUAAGCGUACACGGUGGAUGCCCUGGCAGUCAGAGGCGAUGAAGGACGUGCUAAUCUGCGAUAAGCGUCGGUAAGGUGAUAUGAACCGUUAUAACCGGCGAUUUCCGAAUGGGGAAACCCAGUGUGUUUCGACACACUAUCAUUAACUGAAUCCAUAGGUUAAUGAGGCGAACCGGGGGAACUGAAACAUCUAAGUACCCCGAGGAAAAGAAAUCAACCGAGAUUCCCCCAGUAGCGGCGAGCGAACGGGGAGCAGCCCAGAGCCUGAAUCAGUGUGUGUGUUAGUGGAAGCGUCUGGAAAGGCGCGCGAUACAGGGUGACAGCCCCGUACACAAAAAUGCACAUACUGUGAGCUCGAUGAGUAGGGCGGGACACGUGGUAUCCUGUCUGAAUAUGGGGGGACCAUCCUCCAAGGCUAAAUACUCCUGACUGACCGAUAGUGAACCAGUACCGUGAGGGAAAGGCGAAAAGAACCCCGGCGAGGGGAGUGAAAAAGAACCUGAAACCGUGUACGUACAAGCAGUGGGAGCCUCUUAAUGGGGUGACUGCGUACCUUUUGUAUAAUGGGUCAGCGACUUAUAUUCUGUAGCAAGGUUAACCGAAUAGGGGAGCCGAAGGGAAACCGAGUCUUAACUGGGCGUUAAGUUGCAGGGUAUAGACCCGAAACCCGGUGAUCUAGCCAUGGGCAGGUUGAAGGUUGGGUAACACUAACUGGAGGACCGAACCGACUAAUGUUGAAAAAUUAGCGGAUGACUUGUGGCUGGGGGUGAAAGGCCAAUCAAACCGGGAGAUAGCUGGUUCUCCCCGAAAGCUAUUUAGGUAGCGCCUCGUGAAUUCAUCUCCGGGGGUAGAGCACUGUUUCGGCAAGGGGGUCAUCCCGACUUACCAACCCGAUGCAAACUGCGAAUACCGGAGAAUGUUAUCACGGGAGACACACGGCGGGUGCUAACGUCCGUCGUGAAGAGGGAAACAACCCAGACCGCCAGCUAAGGUCCCAAAGUCAUGGUUAAGUGGGAAACGAUGUGGGAAGGCCCAGACAGCCAGGAUGUUGGCUUAGAAGCAGCCAUCAUUUAAAGAAAGCGUAAUAGCUCACUGGUCGAGUCGGCCUGCGCGGAAGAUGUAACGGGGCUAAACCAUGCACCGAAGCUGCGGCAGCGACACUAUGUGUUGUUGGGUAGGGGAGCGUUCUGUAAGCCUGCGAAGGUGUACUGUGAGGUAUGCUGGAGGUAUCAGAAGUGCGAAUGCUGACAUAAGUAACGAUAAAGCGGGUGAAAAGCCCGCUCGCCGGAAGACCAAGGGUUCCUGUCCAACGUUAAUCGGGGCAGGGUGAGUCGACCCCUAAGGCGAGGCCGAAAGGCGUAGUCGAUGGGAAACAGGUUAAUAUUCCUGUACUUGGUGUUACUGCGAAGGGGGGACGGAGAAGGCUAUGUUGGCCGGGCGACGGUUGUCCCGGUUUAAGCGUGUAGGCUGGUUUUCCAGGCAAAUCCGGAAAAUCAAGGCUGAGGCGUGAUGACGAGGCACUACGGUGCUGAAGCAACAAAUGCCCUGCUUCCAGGAAAAGCCUCUAAGCAUCAGGUAACAUCAAAUCGUACCCCAAACCGACACAGGUGGUCAGGUAGAGAAUACCAAGGCGCUUGAGAGAACUCGGGUGAAGGAACUAGGCAAAAUGGUGCCGUAACUUCGGGAGAAGGCACGCUGAUAUGUAGGUGAAGUCCCUCGCGGAUGGAGCUGAAAUCAGUCGAAGAUACCAGCUGGCUGCAACUGUUUAUUAAAAACACAGCACUGUGCAAACACGAAAGUGGACGUAUACGGUGUGACGCCUGCCCGGUGCCGGAAGGUUAAUUGAUGGGGUUAGCGGUAACGCGAAGCUCUUGAUCGAAGCCCCGGUAAACGGCGGCCGUAACUAUAACGGUCCUAAGGUAGCGAAAUUCCUUGUCGGGUAAGUUCCGACCUGCACGAAUGGCGUAAUGAUGGCCAGGCUGUCUCCACCCGAGACUCAGUGAAAUUGAACUCGCUGUGAAGAUGCAGUGUACCCGCGGCAAGACGGAAAGACCCCGUGAACCUUUACUAUAGCUUGACACUGAACAUUGAGCCUUGAUGUGUAGGAUAGGUGGGAGGCUUUGAAGUGUGGACGCCAGUCUGCAUGGAGCCGGCCUUGAAAUACCACCCUUUAAUGUUUGAUGUUCUAACGUUGGCCCCUGAUCGGGGUUGCGGACAGUGUCUGGUGGGUAGUUUGACUGGGGCGGUCUCCUCCUAAAGAGUAACGGAGGAGCACGAAGGUUGGCUAAUCCUGGUCGGACAUCAGGAGGUUAGUGCAAUGGCAUAAGCCAGCUUGACUGCGAGCGUGACGGCGCGAGCAGGUGCGAAAGCAGGUCAUAGUGAUCCGGUGGUUCUGAAUGGAAGGGCCAUCGCUCAACGGAUAAAAGGUACUCCGGGGAUAACAGGCUGAUACCGCCCAAGAGUUCAUAUCGACGGCGGUGUUUGGCACCUCGAUGUCGGCUCAUCACAUCCUGGGGCUGAAGUAGGUCCCAAGGGUAUGGCUGUUCGCCAUUUAAAGUGGUACGCGAGCUGGGUUUAGAACGUCGUGAGACAGUUCGGUCCCUAUCUGCCGUGGGCGCUGGAGAACUGAGGGGGGCUGCUCCUAGUACGAGAGGACCGGAGUGGACGCAUCACUGGUGUUCGGGUUGUCAUGCCAAUGGCACUGCCCGGUAGCUAAAUGCGGAAGAGAUAAGUGCUGAAAGCAUCUAAGCACGAAACUUGCCCCGAGAUGAGUUCUCCCUGACUCUUUAAGGGUCCUGAAGGAACGUUGAAGACGACGACGUUAAUAGGCCGGGUGUGUAAGCGCAGCGAUGCGUUGAGCUAACCGGUACUAAUGAACCGUGAGGCUUAACCUUACAACGCCGAAG